UUUUAGGCCCUGCUCAAUCCUACAAGCUUUCCUCUCCUCCGUGUCCACUUGGUGUGGAGCGAACCUUGCCAAUUCAUUGAAUUUGGCAGCAUAUUGGGGAACAGUCAUGUCUGUAAAACCCCAACUAUUUCAAUAAAGAUGAAUUUUCUAUAAAUAUUAUUUUUGAAUAUUAUGGAGUGAAAUUGAUAUAAUAGUUGUGG
rnacentral:lncRNA from 1 species